ACCCGAGGCCUGUGGUAACCAUGGCCUGGCCACUGCCUAUGUUCACUUGAAGCCCUAGGACUCUACAAUCUACAGGCAGUGAAGCCAGAUAGGCUUGUGUCCUUCCCUUCAAGGUGGAGAGUUUCUCCCAUUCCUGGGCAGGUCAAGAGAUGCUUCUGGAAGCCAGGGUCUGGAGGUGGAAACCUCAGGAAUCUACCUGCUGCUCUACUCUACUGCAGUCAGCAUGAUCUCAGCAUGAUGGAGGACAAGGAAGAUAAAAACAAAAUGGAGGUAACUCUUAAACUAAAGGUACAACAGACCCAACAGGCAGAAAAAGAGCCUGCAAGGCAAGAGAAUGAGACCCAAAUGCUGCACCAGUUCAAGCUGAAGUACAAAGGAGGCCAAAAGUUUACCCUGCUGUGUUCGAUUUUUAAAAUUCUAUAGCCCAUUUUAGGUUAAAGAUCCUAUCUCCUCUUUUUUCAAAAUGUCUAACCCCAUCCCAAACAUGAGAACCAUUUUUUCUACCCUCUUCCAAAUGUGAAACCUGCUGAGCAAUUAAAAAGAACAGAAGUCA
rnacentral:lncRNA from 1 species